GGUCAAGUGAAGAAGCGCAUACGGUGGAUGCCUUGGCAGUCAGAGGCGAUGAAAGACGUGGUAGCCUGCGAAAAGCUUCGGGGAGUCGGCAAACAGACUUUGAUCCGGAGAUCUCUGAAUGGGGGAACCCACCUAGGAUAACCUAGGUAUCUUGUACUGAAUCCAUAGGUGCAAGAGGCGAACCAGGGGAACUGAAACAUCUAAGUACCCUGAG
rnacentral:rRNA from 1 species